rnacentral:lncRNA from 1 species
UGGGACGCGCCAGAGAGGACCCACCAGAGAGCAGGGUCCCUCCCACAGGGCGGCCGUGCCCCAACCUCACGGAUGCCAAGGUCAACAGCCAGAGCUACUCGUAGCUGGACUCUUUGCUGGGGGAACGAGAGCCCUCCGACCCGAGCCUCUCCGGGGGAGGCGAGCUGGGCCUCUGCUCGCUGGGUCUCCUCUCCAUUCCGUCUGUCCUGAGGCAGCUCCCUGCGUGCGAGGGCAGGAGGGGCAGUCACCGAACACCUUGUCUCACACGUUAGAGCUGCAGAAGCCCAGGAAGGUUCCAUGGCUUGCUCAAGUUCCCGUGCAGGAGCAGGGGGAGGAAGCCACUCACUGUCUGAUAGACGCUUGGUCAGGCCACCAGUCAGCCUCAUCCCCCGACGCCCAUAGCCACGUCCAAUACGGCGGUGGGGCAGAUGGAAGCGCAGGAGAGGGAUGCUGUCUUCUAAGCCAGUUCACUAUGGAGAUUCAGAGGAAACUCGAACUAUAAAACUGGCAGGCCUAAGAGCACAAAGGGGAAAAGAUCGACCGAAGACCACACCCCUAAAGAAAAGAGGCUUUGAUCCACAGACCCGCUUACUUGGCCCUCUGCAGCCCCCAGGGCCCGGCACAGCACCCCUCCUAUGAAUCUUUGAGGUUUUUAAAAAACAUAAUCUCUAUGCCCAAUGUGGGGCUCAGGACCCCAAGAUUAGGAGUCUCGAGCUCUACCAACUGAG